GAGGUAGUGCCAUGCAUAUAAUAGUGACAGAUUAAUAUAUACUUUGAUCGAUACUUUUAAGUGAGUUUUGUCAAACAUGGGAAAGGCCAAGAAGGCAUCUGAAAUAGCUUUCGAGGGAAGUAUGAACUUCUGGAUCCUUGCCUGAGUUCCCAAUAACUUGAGAGAGAGCAGAAACCAUAGCAGAUGUGUCGCGUUGGGAUCUAGCAGAGUAGACGCGGCACAGUUCUACUUCCUCUUUUUCCUCCGAUUCAUCGAACGGAAGGGGCCUCUUCCCAUGCCUACGAUCCACUGUUUUUCCCUUUAUUUGUCACAGUAAAGCACUUCCAAGAGACUACAAAUUAAAGGCUGAAGAAGUAGACUUUAGGGUUUGCUACAAGACAUACAAGAUGCAGAGAAAUAUUAACAAGAAUGGAAAAGGAGGAGGAAUUGCUAGGGUUUUCUAUAACAGCUGAAAUGUCUGUUGAAAUUAAGGAAUAUUUGGUCUUACCUUUGCAAACCUACCUGUGACUCAACGUUAUAUCUUAAUUGAUAAUUGGGUGGUCAAGUUGUACCCAUAUUUUCUU